GAGAGAGAAGAGCGAGCAGAAACCGCUACCAUUCAAGGGAAGUGCCUCUCGCGAAAACGGGAACAGGCCCGCGUAGAGGAUCCUUUCUCCUCUCUGAUCGCGCCAAAGAUGCGAGAGAAGAGAGAGAUAGAGAGAUCGAGAGCGUCAUCGGACAGAGUUUUUUGGUUAUUUUUAAAAGAGAGUAAGAUAGAUAUAUGCGAUGUCUCUGUCUCUCGCGCGCGGCCAUUGUGCGCGAGUUAUCAUCGUCUCCCACUCGGCGUAGGUAUAUAGUAGAUAAUAUAGAGUAGGUAAAAGAGGCGACAGGUUGACGGCCACUGCGGCGCUUCGAGAUUUCGCCGCGACGUUAUCGACUAGAUUCGCUCACCGGGAUAGAUUUGCUGCUGGUACUGUUGCUGGUACUGCUGUGGCUGUUGCUGCUGUUGCUGGUACUGUUGCUGGU